UGCACUGCCUGUUGACCCCCCGCCCCCACCCCAUCUAGUUUCAGAAGAACAGGGCUUGGGCCUGGAGUACUUCUUUACCAAGAGAUAAGGAACCCAUAUGGUCAGUGCCAGAUUUCUCACCUUGUAUGGGAAUAUCUUCUUUUUCAGACUCAAUGUGUAUUCCUUUGUUCUGCUUAAGUAUUUAUACUCAAUGCGUCAAUGACUCUCAGGCACUCUCCAGCCUGCGUUUAUUUCAGACUCCACGGAGGAGGAAGAGGUGUCCUUCUACUACAGCACAAGAGGGAUGCAUGCAGGCUAAUUGCCCUGUGUUGGCUGCCUGGUGGGACCCACUGGCCAUAGGGGACUGAUGCACACAAUUGGAGCUGAUCUUUCUAUCUCUUCUCCAUCAGAUAAUUUCAACUGGAGACAGGGAUGGAUGGAAAAACUUACACUCCAAAGACAUCAGGCCUCACCAGCAAUCUUGGGCUUCUCAUUUAAAUUCCCUGAGUUUUUACUGGAGAAGUUUGCAAAGACCAGGAUGAAGGCUAUAUUGGACUGCCCAGGGAACCACACUCUUCAGGGACUGUGGACAUUAGGAAGACAUGUGCAGUUGACAUUGAAAGGCUAAGCCAAGGGCCUCCCGAUUCCCUGAAGCACAACAGUAUUGAAAUUGGGCCAAUUAAUAACCCUACAAUGGCCUCCAAGUGUUCAGGUCAUGGAAGCAACCUAAAUGCCCAUCGACAGACAAAUGGAUAAAGAAGAUGUGGUACAUAUAUACAAUUGAAUAUUACUCAGCCAUAAAAAGGAACGAUAUUGGUUCAUUUGUUGAGACGUGGAUGGAUCUAGAGACUGUCAUACAGAGUGAAGUAAGUCAGAAAGAGAAAAACAAAUAUCGUAUAUUAACACAUAUAUGUGGAACCUAGAAAAAUGGUACAGAUGAACCAGUUUGCAGGGCAGAAGCUGAGACACAGAUGUAGAGAACAAACGUAUGGACACCAAGGGGGGAAAGCCGCGGCAGGGUGGGGAUGUGGA